GAUGAACGCUGGCGGCGUGCCUAAUACAUGCAAGUCGAGCGAACAGACGAGGAGCUUGCUCCUUUGACGUUAGCGGCGGACGGGUGAGUAACACGUGGGUAACCUACCUAUAAGACUGGGAUAACUUCGGGAAACCGGAGCUAAUACCGGAUAAUAUUUCGAACCGCAUGGUUCGAUAGUGAAAGAUGGCUUUGCUAUCACUUAUAGAUGGACCUGCGCCGUAUUAGCUAGUUGGUAAGGUAACGGCUUACCAAGGCAACGAUACGUAGCCGACCUGAGAGGGUGAUCGGCCACACUGGAACUGAGACACGGUCCAGACUCCUACGGGAGGCAGCAGUAGGGAAUCUUCCGCAAUGGGCGAAAGCCUGACGGAGCAACGCCGCGUGAGUGAUGAAGGUCCUCGGAUCGUAAAACUCUGUUAUUAGGGAAGAAUAAACGUGUAAGUAACUGUGCACGUCUUGACGGUACCUAAUCAGAAAGCCACGGCUAACUACGUG
rnacentral:rRNA from 1 species